GGGGCGUUAGCGCAGUUGGUAGCGCAUCACACUGGCAGUGUGGGGGUCAGGAGUUCGAAUCUCCUACGCUCCA
rnacentral:tRNA from 1 species